GAUGAACGCUGGCGGCGUGCCUAACACAUGCAAGUCGAGCGAUUCUCUUCGGAGAAGAGCGGCGGACGGGUGAGUAACGCGUGGGUAACCUGCCCUGUACACACGGAUAACAUACCGAAAGGUAUGCUAAUACGAGAUAAUAUGCUUUUAUCGCAUGGUAGAAGUAUCAAAGCUUUUGCGGUACAGGAUGGACCCGCGUCUGAUUAGCUAGUUGGUAAGGUAACGGCUUACCAAGGCGACGAUCAGUAGCCGACCUGAGAGGGUGAUCGGCCACAUUGGAACUGAGACACGGUCCAAACUCCUACGGGAGGCAGCAGUGGGGAAUAUUGCACAAUGGGCGAAAGCCUGAUGCAGCAGCGCCGCGUGAGCGAUGAAGGCCUUCGGGUCGUAAAGCUCUGUCCUCAAGGAAGAUAAUGACGGUACUUGAGGAGGAAGCCCCGGCUAACUACGUGCCAGCAGCCGCAGUAACAC
rnacentral:rRNA from 1 species